rnacentral:rRNA from 1 species
GAUGAACGCUGGCGGCGUGCCUAACACAUGCAAGUCGAACGAACGGACGAGAAGCUUGCUUCCCUGAUGUUAGCGGCGGACGGGUGAGUAACACGUGGAUAACCUACCUAUAAGACUGGGAUAACUACGGGAAACCGGAUCUAAUACCAGAGAAUAUUUUGAACCGCAGGGUUCAAAAGUGAUAGACGGUCUUGCUGUCUCUAAUAGAUGGAUCCGCGCUGGAUUAGCUAGUUGGUAAGGUAACGGCUUACCAAGGCAACGAUGCAUAGCCGAGCUGAGAGGGUGAUCGGCCACACUGGAACUGAGACACGGUCCAGACUCCUACGGGAGGCAGCAGUAGGGAAUCUUCCGCAAUGGGCGAAAGCCUGACGGAGCAACGCCGCGUGAGUGAUGAAGGUCUUCGGAUCGUAAAACUCUGUUAUUAGGGAAGAACAUAUGUGUAAGUAACUGUGCACAUCUUGACGGUACCUAAUCAAAAAGCCACGGCUAACUACGUG